AACGAACGCUGGCGGCGUGGAUAAGACAUGCAAGUCGAACGGGAUUUUUUCCUGUAGCAAUACAGGGAAAAGUCUAGUGGCGAACGGGUGUGUAACACGUGAGCAACCUGCCGUGAAGUGGGGGAUAGCUCGCCGAAAGGCGAAUUAAUACCGCAUGUGGCCAAGGAAGACAUCUUCCUGACGACAAAGCCGGGGCAACCUGGCGCUUCUCGAGGGGCUCGCGGCCUAUCAGCUUGUUGGUGAGGUAACGGCUCACCAAGGCUAUGACGGGUAGCUGGUCUGAGAGGACGACCAGCCACACUGGAACUGAGACACGGUCCAGACACCUACGGGUGGCAGCAGUCGAGAAUUUUUCACAAUGGGGGAAACCCUGAUGGAGCGACGCCGCGUGGAGGAUGAAGGUUUUCGGAUUGUAAACUCCUGUCAUUAGAGAACAAGGCACACGGUUUAACUGGCCGUGUGUUGAUAGUAUCUGAAGAGGAAGAGACGGCUAACUCUGUGCCAGCAGCCGCCGUAA
rnacentral:rRNA from 1 species